UUAAGUUCAGCGGGUAGUCCUACCUGAUUUGAGGUCAAAUUGGUCAAGUAAAGUGUCCUUGCGGACGGUUAGAAGCAAGCAUGAGUCCAAUCCACGGCGUAGAUAAUUAUCACACCAAUAGACGGAAGCUCAGUAUGAGCUCGCUAAUGCAUUUCAGGGGAGCAGACCAGCACUGAGGCAGCCUGCAAAACCCCCACAUC
rnacentral:misc_RNA from 1 species